rnacentral:rRNA from 1 species
UACGUAGGGGGCAAGCGUUGUCCGGAUUUAUUGGGCGUAAAGAGCGUGUAGGCGGCUUUGCAAGUCCGUUGUGAAAACUCUGGGCUCAACCCAGAGCCUGCAUCCAAAACUGGCGGGCUAGAGUUCUGGAGGGGGUAGCGGAAUUCCUGGUGUAGCGGUGAAAUGCGUAGAUAUCAGGAGGAACACCGGUGGCGAAGGCGGCUACCUGGACAGAAACUGACGCUGAGGCGCGAAAGCUAGGGGAGCAAACAGG